CUUCGCCGAGCACCGCAGCCAGGCGGCCAAGAUCAAGGUCAACCCCCGCGGCAACCUCUGGGCCACAGGUCACUUCAUGGGGAAGAAGAGUGUCACGGGCUCCCCGCACCUGGAACCGCCAGAGGAGCCUGCAGUGCCCAUGGUGUUUGGUCCCUCUCUCAGAGCUUUGCUGGAGGACAUGAUGGAACUGCUUACCCGUGAGCUCCUGAAAAUCCUCUUGCAAGAGAGACUUUUGUAUGAGAAUCAAGGAAAAUACGACCUCACUGACCAGGAGACAGGGCUUUUAACAAAGGUGCUGGAGAAGUAUUUUUCAAGCUGAGGAAAUACAGCCGUGGAGGAUGAGGUCUGCAGCUUGGCCAUGCAUGGCACACAGAGGAGAGCAUCGUGCUUGUGGGUAGCAACAUCACUUUUUAUUUAUUCUUGCUGUAAUACUGUUUCUAGUGAGUGCUUGUGUGAAAGCAGAGCCUCCCUGUAUAUUGCCUGUGUGUUUUCUGUAUUCCUCAUGUCUGAUGCACCCCUGGGAAUAAAACUGGCUCUUUGCACAGACC